rnacentral:rRNA from 1 species
GACGAACCGUGCGAACGUUGUUCGGAAUCACUGGGUUUAAAGGGCGCGUAGGCGGGCUGUCAAGUCGGUGGUGAAAUCUUUCGGCUCAACCGGAAAAUUGCCUUCGAUACUGGCGGCCUGGAGGGAGGUAGGGGCAUGCGGAACUUCCGGUGGAGCGGUGAAAUGCGUAGAUAUCGGAAGGAACACCGAUGGCGAAAGCAGCGUGCUGGACCUUUUCUGGACGCUGAGGCGCGAAAGCCAGGGGAGCAAACGGG